UACGAAGGGGGCUAGCGUUGUUCGGAAUCACUGGGCGUAAAGGGCGCGUAGGCGGCUAUGUCAGUCGGGGGUGAAAGCCUGUGGCUCAACCACAGAAUUGCCUUCGAUACUGCAUGGCUUGAGACCGGAAGAGGUUAGUGGAACUGCGAGUGUAGAGGUGAAAUUCGUAGAUAUUCGCAAGAACACCAGUGGCGAAGGCGGCUGACUGGUCCGGAUCUGACGCUGAGGCGCGAAAGCGUGGGGGAGCAAACAGG
rnacentral:rRNA from 1 species